GAUGAGCGCUGGCGGCGUGCUUAACACAUGCAAGUCGAACGGAAAGGCCCAAGCUUGCUUGGGUACUCGAGUGGCGAACGGGUGAGUAACACGUGGGUGAUCUGCCCUGCGCUUCGGGAUAAGCCUGGGAAACUGGGUCUAAUACCGGAUAGGACCACAUUUUGGAUGGUGUGGUGGAAAGUUUUUCGGUGUGGGAUGAGCUCGCGGCCUAUCAGCUUGUUGGUGGGGUAAUGGCCUACCAAGGCGUCGACGGGUAGCCGGCCUGAGAGGGUGUACGGCCACAUUGGGACUGAGAUACGGCCCAGACUCCUACGGGAGGCAGCAGUGGGGAAUAUUGCACAAUGGGCGCAAGCCUGAUGCAGCGACGCCGCGUGGGGGAUGACGGCCUUCGGGUUGUAAACUCCUUUCGCUAGGGACGAAGCGCAAGUGACGGUACCUGGAGAAGAAGCACCGGCUAACUACGUG
rnacentral:rRNA from 1 species